UUUACCCGCUGAAAACUAAGCAUAUCAAUAAGCGGAGGAAAAGAAACCAACAGGGAUUGCCCCAGUAACGGCGAGUGAAGCGGCAAUAGCUCAAAUUUGAAAUCUGGCUCCUUUGGGGCCCGAGUUGUAAUUUGGAGAGGGUGCUUUGGUGUCGGCAGCAGCCUAAGUUCCUUGGAACAGGUCAUCAUAGAGGGUGAGAAUCCCGUAUGUGGCUGAUUGUCUUCACCAUGUAAAGCCCCUUCGACGAGUCGAGUUGUUUGGGAAUGCAGCUCUAAAUGGGAGGUAAAUUUCUUCUAAAGCUAAAUACUGGCCAGAGACCGAUAGCGCACAAGUAGAGUGAUCGAAAGAUGAAAAGCACUUUGGAAAGAGAGUCAAAAAGCACGUGAAAUUGUUGAAAGGGAAGCGCUUGCAGCCAGACGUGCCCGUAGUUGCUCAUCUGGGGAUUUCCCCAGUGCACUCUUCUAUGGGCAGGCCAGCAUCAGUCCGGGCGGUUGGAGAAAGGCCUGUGUCACGUAGCUGCUUUCGGGCAGUGUUAUAGGGCAGGUGGAAUACGACCAGCCUGGACUGAGGUCCGCGCAUCUGCUAGGAUGCUGGCGUAAUGGCUGUAAGCGGCCCGUCUUGAAACACGGACCAAGGAGUCUAACAUCUAUGCGAGUGUUUGGGUGUCAAGCCCGAGCGCGUAAUGAAAGUGAACGGAGGUGGGAACCCUUGGGUGCACCAUCGACCGAUCCUGAUGUCUUCGGAUGGAUUUGAGUAAGAGCAUAGCUGUUGGGACCCGAAAGAUGGUGAACUAUGCCUGAAUAGGGUGAAGCCAGAGGAAACUCUGGUGGAGGCUCGCAGCGGUUCUGACGUGCAAAUCGAUCGUCAAAUUUGGGCAUAGGGGCGAAAGACUAAUCGAACUAUCUAGUAGCUGGUUCCUGCCGAAUUUUCCCUCAGGAAAC
rnacentral:rRNA from 1 species